ACAACUUACCGAAAGGUGAGCUAAUGCCGGAUGAGUUAUAUAAGUGCAUGUUUAUAUAGGAAAAGUUGGGGAGACCUGACGCUGAAAGAUGGACUCGCGUCCCAUUAGCUAGUUGGUAGGGUAAUGGCCUACCAAGGCGACGAUGGGUAGCCGGCCUGAGAGGGUGGCCGGCCACACUGGGACUGAGACACGGCCCAGACUCCUACGGGAGGCAGCAGUGGGGAAUUUUGCGCAAUGCUCGUAAGAGUGACGCAGCGACGCCGCGUGAAUGACGAAGGCCUUCGGGUCGUAAAGUUCUUUCGACAGGGAAGAAAAUGCCUAUAAGUAACUGUGUAUGUAUUGACGGUACCUGUAUAAGCAGCCCCGGCUAACUCCGUGCCAGCAGCCGCGGUAAUACGGAGGGGGCGAGCGUUGUUCGGAGUGACUGGGCGUAAAGAGCACGUAGGCGGUGUUGUAAGUCAUUAGUCAAAGACUAGAGCUCAACUUUAGUAAGGCUAGUGAUACUAUAAUACUAGAGUAUCAGAGAGGAUUGCAGAAUUCCUGGUGUAGCGGUGAAAUGCG
rnacentral:rRNA from 1 species